rnacentral:rRNA from 1 species
CGGAUCCUACGGGAGGCAGCAGUGGGGAAUAUUGCACAAUGGGGGAAACCCUGAUGCAGCAACGCCGCGUGAAGGAAGACAGUUUUCGGAUUGUAAACUUCUGUUCGUAGUGAAGAAGAAUGACGGUAGCUAAGGAGCAAGCCACGGCUAACUACGUGCCAGCAGCCGCGGUAAUACGUAGGUGGCAAGCGUUGUCCGGAAUUACUGGGUGUAAAGGGAGCGCAGGCGGGAAGACAAGGC